AGCCAUAUAGAACUUGAGCC
rnacentral:snRNA from 1 species